CAAUAGCGUAUAUUAAAGUUGUUGCGGUUAAAAAGCUCGUAGUUGGAUUUCUUCCAGGGGCAGUCGGUCCACACUAUGUGUGCGUAUCUGAUUUGACUUUGGAAUCCUCUUGGGGAACAUUUGUGCGCUUCAUUGCGUGCUAUGGUAUUCAAGACUUUUACUUUGAGGAAAUUAGAGUGUUCACGGCAGGCAAUCGCCCUGAAUACAUUAGCAUGGAAUAAUAAUAUAGGACUUUGGUUCUAUUUUGUUGGUUUCUAGAGCUAAAGUAAUGAUUAAUAGGGACACUUGGGGGCAUUCGUAUUAUCACGUCAGAGGUGGAAUUCUUGGAUUGUGUUACGACGAACUACUGCGAAAGCAUUUGCCAAGGAUGUUUUCAUUGAUCAAGAACGAAAGUAAGGGGAUCGAAGAUGAUCAGAUACCAU
rnacentral:rRNA from 1 species